rnacentral:tRNA from 1 species
UCAAUAGCUCAUUGGUAAAGCAUCUGGUUGAUGAUCAGCAGGUCACAAGUU